AGAGCGGGAGCCCGGAGAUGGGCACUGAGAUAAGGGCCCAGGUCCCACGGGGCGCAGCAGUCGCGAAAACUCCCCAAUACACGAAAGUGUGAGGGGGCCAUCCCGAGUGCCAUCCGCUGAGGAUAGCUUUUCCCUAGUGUACAAAGCUGGGGGAAUAAGGAGAGGGCAAGUCUGGUGUCAGCCGCCGCGGUAAUACCAGCUCUCCGAGUGGUGGGGAUGUUUAUUGGGCCUAAAGCAUUCGUAGCCGGCUAGGCAAGUCCUCCGUUAAAUCCAACGAUUCAAUCUUUGGGCUGCGGGGGAUACUGUCUGGCUAGGGGGCGGGAGAGGCCGACGGUAUUCUCGGGGUAGGGGUGAAAUCCUAUAAUCCCGGGAGGACCACCAGUGGCGAAGGCUGUCGGCU
rnacentral:rRNA from 1 species